rnacentral:rRNA from 1 species
CCUACGGGAGGCAGCAGUGAGGAAUAUUGGUCAAUGGGCUUACGCCUGAACCAGCCAAGUCGCGUGAGGGAAGACUGCCCUAUGGGUUGUAAACUUCUUUUAUAUGGGAAUAAAACAGGGUAUGCAUACCCUCUUGUAUGUACCAUAUGAAUAAGGAUCGGCUAACUCCGUGCCAGCAGCCGCGGUAAUACGGAGGAUCCGAGCGUUAUCCGGAUUUAUUGGGUUUAAAGGGAGCGUAGGUGGAUUGUUAAGUCAGUUGUGAAAGUUUGCGGCUCAACCGUAAAAUUGCAGUUGAAACUGGCAGUCUUGAGUACAGUAGAGGUGGGCGGAAUUCGUGGUGUAGCGGUGAAAUGCUUAGAUAUCACGAAGAACUCCGAUUGCGAAGGCAGCUCACUGGACUGCAACUGACACUGAUGCUCGAAAGUGUGGGUAUCAAACAGGAUUAGAUACCCUAGUAGUC